AGAUGGCGAGAUGGCGUUGACGUGCGUCUAUGAUAAAUAUUACGAGUGACAAGUUAAAUUGGUGUUUGUUACGUCUCUACCUUGUUCAGUGUUUCAAAGGGUUUUUCAUCAAAUAUUAAUGGGUUUCGCCUUGUCAGCUGCUGAACCUUAGCCUGCAUUCCUGCUAUCAUCAAUGUUGUCAAUAUUUUAAGCCCGACUAA